UACGUAGGGACCAAGCGUUGUUCGGAUUUACUGGGCGUAAAGGGCGCGUAGGCGGCAUGACAAGUCACUUGUGAAAUCUCUGGGCUUAACCCAGAACGGCCAAGUGAUACUGUCGCGCUAGAGUGCGGAAGGGGCAAUCGGAAUUCUCGGUGUAGCGGUGAAAUGCGUAGAUAUCGAGAGGAACACCUGAGGUGAAGACGGGUUGCUGGGCCGACACUGACGGCUGAGUGCGGCGAAAGCCAGGGGAGCAAACGGG
rnacentral:rRNA from 1 species